AUUGAACGCUGGCGGCAGGCCUAACACAUGCAAGUCGAACGAGUGGCGGACGGGUGAGUAAUGUCUGGGAAAAUGCCUGAUGGAGGGGGAUAACUACUGGAAACGGUAGCUAAUACCGCAUACCAUCGGAUGUGCCCAGAUGGGAUUAGCUAGUAGGUGGGGUAAAGGCUCACCUAGGCGACGAUCCCUAGCUGGUCUGAGAGGAUGACCAGCCACACUGGAACUGAGCAACGGGCCAGAAUCCUACGGGAGGCAGGAGGGGGGAAUAUUGCACAAGGGGCGCAAGCCGGAUGCAGCCAGGCCGCGUGGAUGAAGAAGGCCUUCGGGUGGUAAAGGACUUUCAGCGGGGAGGCGUUACCCGCAGAAGAAGCACCGGCUAACUCCGUGCCAGCAGCCGCGGUAAUAC
rnacentral:rRNA from 1 species